GUCACUUUGCCGGAGUGGUUAACGGGAUCGCCUGCUAUCUUUAGCUGUGAGCGGUUGUGCUUUGCACGCGAGUGUUCGAAUCGCUCAGGUGACG